AUUAUUUCAGUCAUUCGAGGCUCGGCAUUCAGCCGGCUCGUCUCGUCUCUUCUUUUCUUAUUUUAUUAUUUUUAUUUUUUAAAUAUUAUUUUUUUGCACUAGCUCUGCAAAUUAAUCCUCCUAUCGCAAAUCCUGUCCUGCUGAUUUUCUUCUUUUAUUUUAUUUAUUUUACAAUCCGGUGGACUUUCUUGGCCGGUGGUUCCUCCCCAAUGGAAGUCUUUCUUUUUGGGGGACUGCCUCCUAUAUUUUAUUUAUGUUUUUUUGAUUAAUCUUCUUUAUUUUAUUGUCCGGUGGACUUUCUUGGAUGGUGGUUCCUCUCCGCUCCUGGCACUGAGUCCUGGCUUGUUCCUUCUUUCCUUAUAAUUUUUAAAAAUUUAUUAAAGCCUGCCUUUUCUUAUUUUUUUAUUUAUUUAUAUUUUCCAAAUAGUUGGAGCCUGCAAUCAGUUUUUCCUGCUCCAUUGCCUCAUUUUGAUUUGAAAUUUUUUUUAUUUUUGUUCAUCCAUAGCCAAUGUGUCAGCUCCUAAAUCUGAGCUAGAACUCAACUUUUAUUAUAAAAUAAUUAUUUAAAUAUUAAUUUAUGUAAAGAAAAUGCAUAUUUAUGUAUAAAACAUUAAGCCAUAAACAAAGUAAGUUUUGCUUUGAAAACCUAAGAGGAAAUCAAGUCCCAUUGUCAUCUCAAGAAAUUGGAAAUAUUUCCAUUAUAUACCUGGCGCAAUAUACUACUUAUAUAGUCGCCGUGAAGACCGAUCCACCCAUCGGAUCGAAAAAGUAAAUAAACAAACAACACUCGAACGCAAUUCAUUUGGACUACAAUCGGUCCGGUCCGGACCCCGGAGUCAAGUGGGUCAAAAUCAGCAUAAAAAUCCGCAACUGAUCGUUGCUGAUUUGAUCGCAAUCGUAUAUAAGCUCAUAUAUAUAUAUAUAGAGUCUCCGAUCCGAGGGGAUCAAGUAAGUGCCAUGGCUGGAAGUGCCUGCUGGAACUUAUUGCAAUUGUAAUGCGUUGAAUAUUGAUGAGAAAGACAGCUCUUGGGGUUGAGAUUUUGAUUUUGGAAUCGGAAUCGAAAUCGGAUUGGCUUGGAUUUAAUAUAUAGACACGUGGAAGGAACCGAAAGCCAGAGCCAUACAAUAGUCCAUACAAUUUAAAUUGUUAAAUAAAUCAGGCCUGUUUUUUUUUAUAAAAAGCCCUUGAUACUUUCUUGCGAUUAUAAAGGGUUACGUUCCAGGGUUUCUCGAGAGCUCUAUAGGCUGAUUUUUAAAGUGCACAGUGCCUCCGGGUAUGAGAGUUGGCCAAGUCCGAGCGGAGAUUGUGGGCAUUGCGAGGGCCAUUGAUGAUGAUCCGGCCGGCAUAUAAAUAAGCCAGCCCAGCCAAUUGGCCCAGCCGAGUGCCUCCAAGCCGAAAACUCGACAAAAAAAUACAUCAAAAGGCACAGAAGCUGAAACAGUUGACAUCCCGGGGAAGGCAUCCUCACGUUUUCCACAUAAAAUACACAUUUUCGACCGAAAUUUGUGUGUGUUUUUAAAUGAUUCCCACGGCGACACAAGCUACUGCGUGGGCGGAUACAAUUACAGAUACAGAUACCUAUAUAAAGAUUCAGAUACAGAUGCGUUCACUUACCUAACUUAACUAACGCAUUAUGAUCAUCGGAUGCCCAGAUCAUCAUCAUCAUCAUGAUGAUCCAUUCAUCCAACUGCCGAUUAGUAUGCAUCGCGAUGCCUUGGAAAGCCAUUAAAUGUGCGAGAGACACGCCAUACCAUGACGACCUCAAAAAAAUGGCAAAGCCGAGAGCUGCAGAUAGAGAUACAUUCCAUCCCAUCCCAUCCCAUUCCAUCCCAUCCCACAUCCCAGUCCAACCAAUCCAUCCAGCAAUCCAUCCAUUCGAGCAACAUCAGCAUGAGCAGCCACAUCGCAUCCCCAUCAAGUACCAAUUUAAUGGCAGCUCUGGGCUUCUUCUGGGCUUUUUGCCUUCAAAAGGCACUGAGAGAAAUACUAUGGAAGUAUACUAUACUAUACUUUACUCUAUAAAGGGUUUAGGAUUAUACUUCUCGUUCUAGAAGACUAACAAAGUAGUAGUUGUCUUUUUAUUAUAUUUUUUAAUUUAUUUUCUAUAGUUACUAGUAGGUAUUACUUUCAUUUUAAUAAAUAGUACUAGUCCCUUAUUUAUAGUAGAGUUUCUUCAAAAUAUAGAUAGGUUUAUCCAAACUCUUAUAUAUUUUUUAGAACCAACCUAAACUAAUGAAAUAUUUCUUCCACUGUAUCAAAAAUUAGUAUUCCAGCAACAUAACCCACCGAGUCCAAGUCCAAAUGGAACUCCGGCAGAGGAAACAGAGUCUCCGUCUCCGGAUGAAUGAUGCUCGGAGUGGAGGAGAGUUCGGCUUUUAUGUCUGACACGUUCGAUGGCUCGGUGGCUACCUUUCUGGUUUAAUGGACUUCUCCGGUAGGGAGCAAGUACUUCACAAGAUCUCCGGCUCUCUGGGCCUCUGAGUGGCUUUACGAUCGUUAUCCGAGACCAAGUCGUAAUCGAAGCCAAGGACAAUAAAGUCUAAACAUAAAACUGAA